UACGAGUGCCUCAAGCGUUAUCCGGAAUCAUUGGGCGUAAAGGUUGUGUAGGUGGUUAUAUUAGUCUUCUGUUAAAUUCUUCGGCUUAACCGGGGGCAUGCAGAGGAAACGGUAUAACUAGAGGAUGCGAGGGGUCUGCGGAACUCAUAGUGUAGCGGUGAAAUGCGUUGAUAUUAUGGGGAACACCAAAAGCGAAGGCAGCAGACUGGAGCACUCCUGACACUGAAACAAGAAAGCGUGGGGAGCGAACAGG
rnacentral:rRNA from 1 species